rnacentral:rRNA from 1 species
UACGGGGGGGGCAAGCGUUGUUCGGAAUUACUGGGCGUAAAGGGCUCGUAGGUGGCCAACUCAGUCGGACGUGAAAUCCCUCGGCUUAACCGGGGAACUGCGUCCGAUACUGGAUGGCUUGAGAUCGGGAGAGGGAUGCGGAAUUCCAGGUGUAGCGGUGAAAUGCGUAGAUAUCUGGAGGAACACCGGUGGCGAAGGCGGCAUCCUGGACCGGUAUUGACGCUGAGGCACGAAAGCGUGGGGAGCAAACAGG